UCUGGAGAUGUCUGAUCUGGCACCCAGCUCAAAGCAACUUCAACCCUGAAGUCAAGUUCCACUCCAGAGUUGAAUGAGGCUGCUCAGGGCCUGGCCCAGUUGAAAUCUCAGAUGCAUAUUCCAGUCUCUCUGGACAACUCAGUGGUCUGCUACCUCAUCAGCCACCAGACUGCACAGAUGCCUGAGUUUAAGAGUGCCUGAACUGCAGCAACUUCAAAAGAGCUAAUUUUCAGUCGAUUUUAAAUGCCCUGAAGCCCAUAGCAAUUUAGGGUGGAUGGUGAGUACCUCAAUUUAUUUUCAUAUCACACUCUAAAAUUGUUAAACCUUCCCAUCCUUUCACACCUUUGUUCUGACUAGGAACACGGUGAUAAUGAAGUCUUCACAA